ACCGUGCUGUGUUGGGAAAUACGGGACCAGGUCUGGGCUCCCUGUAAUGGUCCUUAGUCACUGAAUCGAUGAAAAUUACUACAUGCUAGACCAUGGUGGAACUUGAGUCUCAAAGAAUUAGGACAAAGAUGAAACAGUUCCUGCCCUCAAGGGGUUUCCAUUCUAUCAGGGAAAACAACACAUACACAUAUUAAGGAUAUAAAAAGAUGAGGAAACAGAGACCCAAGGAAGUUCAGUGAUAGCACAGUACGUGGCACAAAGUAGAAGCUGUGCUCUUAAUGGAAGACCACUUAGAUAUGGAGUCAGACAGUCUUGCUCGAAAUCUCACCUCAGCCCUUAUGAGCUAUGUGACCUUGGACAGGUCAACUUACUUCUCUGAGAAGAUUUCCUCACCUGCAAAAUGGGGACAAUGCUACCUGUUGUACCAACCUCACGGGGUUGGUGCGAGGACAAAAUGAGAUAGUGUGGAAAAUGCAUUGUAAACUAAAAAGCCGCAUAUAAAUGUUAACUAUUAUUAUUAACACCUUGUAAUUUAUUCCUUCAUCAACUGUGUGACUAUGGUUCCUUUGAUCACCAUUUUCCUCUCCUCAGAUGACUUUUCUCUUUCCCUCCUGUUGGAUUUCAUUUUAUCUCCAUCAGCCCUGUUGUCUCUGAGAUACUUCAUUAACUCUUCCUUCCCUGGACUCUUUCUUUGACUUCUGAUGUCUCAGAUUCUUCCUCAGGCAGUGUAGUUAGUAAGAACUGGACUGGAAUCUUACGUCCAUCACUUACUGGCAGUCUGACCCUGGGCAAGUCACUUAAUGUCCCCAGGCCUCAGUUUCCUUAUCUGUAAAAUGCUGAGCUAAUUCUCAGGUCCCUUUCAUCUCUAAAUCUAUGAUUCCCUUGGCCAAUUCCAUUGCUUCCACUUUUUCUAGUUUAUCUGGGCUCCUUCUUCAUUAAAACUUUCCAUUCAAAGAUGUUGCAUUUUCUGCUUCCUCAUUUAGCCAGGUGUUUCCUAGUUAUUAAAAGGGUAGCGAGGAGCCAGUCAUUUCAAAGUCCACUUCUGACACAUAUUGGCUGUGUUACCUUGGAUAAGUAACUUGAUCUCUCCAAGUUAAUCCUCUAAGACAAUAAAUGACCGAGAAAGUGAAGACCUGC